UACGGAGGGUGCAAGCGUUGUUCGGAAUUAUUGGGCGUAAAGGGCGCGUAGGCGGUAAUGUAAGUCAGAUGUGAAAUACUCCGGCUCAACCAGAGAACAGCAUCUGAAACUGCAUAACUAGAGUACAGAAGAGGGAAACGGAAUUCCCGGUGUAGAGGUGAAAUUCGUAGAUAUCGGGAGGAACACCAGUGGCGAAGGCGGUUUCCUGGUCUGAUACUGACGCUGAGGCGCGAAAGCGUGGGGAGCAAACAGGAUUAGAUACCCUGGUAGUCCACGCUGUAAACGGUGAACACUAGGUGUGGGAGGUGUAAUACCUUCCGUGCCGUAGCUAACGCGUUAAGUGUUCCGCCUGGGAAGUACGGCCGCAAGGUUGAA
rnacentral:rRNA from 1 species